rnacentral:rRNA from 1 species
GGACGAACGCUGGCGGCGUGCUUAACCCAUGCAAGUCGAACGGAAAGGCCCUGCUUUUGUGGGGUGCUCGAGUGGCGAACGGGUUAGUAACACGUGAGUAACCUGCCCUUGACUUUGGGAUAACUUCAGGAAACUGGGGCUAAUACCGGAUAGGAGCUCCUGCUGCAUGGUGGGGGUUGGAAAGUUUCGGCGGUUGGGGAUGGAUUCGCGGCUUAUCAGCUUGUUGGUGGGGUAGUGGCUUACCAAGGCUUUGACGGGUAGCCGGCCUGAGAGGGUGACCGGCCACAUUGGGACUGAGAUACGGCCCAGACUCCUACGGGAGGCAGCAGUGGGGAAUAUUGCACAAUGGGCGGAAGCCUGAUGCAGCAACGCCGCGUGCGGGAUGACGGCCUUCGGGUUGUAAACCGCUUUCGCCUGUGACGAAGCGUGAGUGACGGUAAUGGGUAAAGAAGCACCGGCUAACUACGUG